rnacentral:lncRNA from 10 species
GAACUCAGCACCAAAUAACUCCAGGAGAAGCUGCAGUGGGACCCGGAGGCGAAGCAUAUGGAGGUGGAGGACGUGACCCUCAACCGUCGUGCCUGCAGCUUCCGAGUCCUGGUGGUGUCGGCCAAGUUUGAGGGGAAGCUGCUGCUUCAGACACACUGGCGGGUAAAUAUGUGGCUAGCUGGAGGCUCUCGCACAUCCAUGCUUUUGAGCAGAAAACCCUCAUCCCAGAGCAGUGGGCUUGUGAACGGCAGAAAGGAGGGACUGGCAUCUGCACAGCCAUUAAAUUAUAAAUCAGGACCAGAAAAAAGGGAAAAGAAUGAAGCAGAUCCAUGUGUUAUUUUUGGGCAAUGGACAACAAAAUAUACCGUGUAUUAAUAAAUGAAAAAAAGAAGUAGCGAACAGUGUGGAUGGCAGGUUACCAGUAAUGUGAAGAAAAAUGCAGGGAGACAAAUAUGUGCAUAUACUUUGAGAGGCCGAGGCAGUAGAAUCACCUGAGCCCAGGAGUUCAAGAUCAGCUUGGGCAACAUAGUGAGACCAAGUCUCUACAAAAAGUAAAAAUAUAGAAAA